rnacentral:rRNA from 1 species
UAAAAGAAAUAAAUAUUAAUUCACUUUUGCUUGGGCACUACGAACACAUGUUUAAAACCCAAAGAACUUGGCGGUACUUUAACCCACUUAGGGGAACCUGUCCUUUAAUUCGAUAAUCCACGAUAAUCUUAUUUAUUUUAGAACAUCUCAGCUUGUAUACCGUCGUCACAAGUUAACCUUAAAAAGAAAAAAAGUUAACAGCAAAGAUAAAAUAUAAUAAUUUUCUUCCAGGUCAGAUCAAGGUGCAGCUUAUAAAUAAAGAAGAGAUGGGUUACAAUUGAUAAAUCUCAAAUGGAGUUUUUAAAGAAAAUAAUAAAUGAAAUAGGACUUAAAAGUAAUUUGUGAAAACAAACACUAAUGAAUAAGGAAAUAAAGUGUGU